GGGUCGAUUAGGUCAUAAAGACUAAGAGUCAAAUGUUUAUAAAGAAUCACACUUCCUACACAUGCUAGUUGAAUUUUUCAGAUAUUCUAUCCUAUGCCACAAAGAGCAUGCAACUUGUUCAAGUCAAUGACCUUUUUAGAAUAUUUAGCUCAUACCUUACACAAGAGAUAAACACGUGACACCAAGUCAAGUUUAAAAAAAGGUAUCAACUAAAUUUCUAAAAGAGGUACAACAAGAUAACUUGAAAAGGUUACAUGCAAGAGCACACACUAGAAUGAGAAUAUGGCCUAGAUGCAUAAAGGUAGGAACAAGAGUGCGUGAGAACAUACCUUCAUCCUUAGCCAUCCAUCUUGUGCAUGUUUCAUUUUAGACACGACGCUAGCUCUUAUUUAAUCUUUCUUGGUCAUAGCACAAAGAGGUGAGAUAGCAUAUGGUGCGCAAGUAUAUGAGACUACAAGAUCAUUAGAAGAAAUUGUUAGUCCCAAGAGUGACACAAGUAUUGGAAUAACCUCCC
rnacentral:lncRNA from 1 species